rnacentral:lncRNA from 1 species
GACGGUGCUGGCGAACCAGGCGAGACAUGCGGGUUCCAAGGUACUGAUCAUCAAAGGUGGCGGCUGGAAAGCGGGUCGGAUAGUUAGGUUUCCCUAGCUCUCUCCUUUUUCUUCUUCUGUCGUCGUCGUACUAUCAUCCCUAUUUCAGUUUGCUUAGCUCUAAAGACUCCUCCUAUAGUGGUAUCAUCGGAAUCGCCAGAAGAAGAGAAAAGAGAAGCUGUGGCAAGACAAAGGUAGUGUCGCCAGGCCGCCAUACCCAGUGGCGGUGGCCUGGUGCGGUUGUGUCGCGUCUGUUUUCGGUCGGUAUUUGGUGGUGUUUCGAGUAAGUACUAUGUGUUUGUGUCGAGUGCUGGGUGAGUGGAUCUGAAAGUGGGUUCUAGAUUGGAGCUGUUUUCGCGUCUUAUUAAGAUUAUAUUACAACAGAAAUCUUGCUUUGCUUUGGUUUCGUAUCUGAGGCCUCCGUUUUUGGGUGCUCCACUCCACUAGAUGGAUGAUAGAUACUCCCUCUGUUCCUAAAUACUUGUCUUUCUAGACAUUUCAACAAGUGACUACAUACGAAGCAAAAUGAGUGAAUCUACACUCUCUAAAAUGUGUCUACAUACAUCCGUAUGUAGUAGUCAUUUGAAAUGUCUAGAAAGACAAGUAUUUAGGAACGGAGGGAGUAGAUGAUAGAUGGUGCGAAGCUGACCGGGCAAGGGCAAAGCUGGCAAAAGGUGUGGCUUCUUUUGGGGGCCGUUGCAUCUGUGCUUUGCUUGUGGUUCCGUUUGGGGAAGGAAAAGCAGUGGGGUGCUUGGUUGAGUGCUGUGUUGCCUCACUGCUAUCCCACUUGACAUGCUUGCUUCAGAAUUUCGAUGCCUGUUUUUGGUUGCUUGGUGAGUGGUAUGUGAAUAAAUGUCUCUGUCAGUGGGUCACUGGUUUGCAUCCAAAAGAGGUGUCAAGGUCGGCUUAAAAAGAAUGAGCCUGGAUCGAUCACCAGCUGCUGUGUGUCAUGGUGGUGUCACUACUUGUCACAGCACCACCCCAUGGUUCAUUUUUUAUUUUCCCAGGGAAAUUGGGACCUAACAAAAAAUGUAGCUCACUGAACACAUACUACUAGCAGCUACCUAACAAUUGUUUCUUACUGUAUUUGUUAAGCUGCCGGAUUAAGACUCCCCGUAGGUAGCUUUGAGCGGCGGGAGAAAGAAGAUAAUUAUCUCUUGAUAGCUGUCCAACUCGACCGGAGAAAUCAGGAAAGAGCAGUAGACUGAUCAGAUAUCUGAAGAAGCCCGGCCGUGCACCGCGUCGAGGUGGCCCUGCGGCUCAAGGGCGUUCCCUACGAGUUCAUCCAGGAGGACCUCAACAACAAGAGUGAGCUGCUGCUGGAGCACAACCCCGUGCACCGCAAGGUGCCGGUGCUCCUCCACGGCGGCCGCCGGCCGGCCCUCUGCGAGUCGCUGGUCAUCGUCGAGUACGUCGACGAGGCCUUCCCCCGUGGCCCCGCUCUCCUGCCGGCCGACCCGCUUCAUCGACGACGAGUGCGGGGCGUGCACGUGGGUGGCGCUGUGGGGGGAGGGCGAGGGAGGCGGUUCUUCGGCGGCGACCACGUCGGCUUCCUCGACGUCGCCGCCAGCGGGCUCGCGUGCUGGCUGGGGGUGUUCGAGGAGAUGGCCGGGGUGGCGCUGCUCGCCGAGGACGAGCACCCGGCGCUGUGCCGGUGGGCGAGGGAGUACGUCGCGGACGAGGCCGUCAGGGGGUGCCUGCGUGACAGGGAGGCGCUGCUCGCCGCGCUGGCCGCCAGGGAGGACAAGUACGUGUCCACCGCCAGGGCAAUGGCUCACAAGUAGACACGAUCAUGCUGCUCUGCUCUGGACCUCUGGUGAUCCGUUCAUGAAUUUGAUACUUGGAACCUAUUUGGAGGCCGGCCGGAUCGUUGGCAGGCAAAUGAAUGGAUUUGUUAAGGUGUUUUUCUUUAGAAAUUUCGCACACAUUAAACAUAUGUCAAAUUACAGCACGGAAUCCAUGAGAGAAACAGAGAGAGGACGUGUGUCCAGGAACAUUUGCAUUAAAAACUCGAUUGAAGCAGAUUUCUGCAAACCCCGUCCUCAUCGCUUGUUGUCUUCAAAGACGAAGAAACACCAUGACACAUGAGUUCAAACAUCGACAACCGGGGAAUGAAGUUUUAUUCCAAAGGUCGGCACCACCGCACCACCGUCAUCCAAACGCCGCCAUAGAACACACUAAACCUAACCCUAACUACAACCGAGGCAGAGAGCAACCCACGGCCUUGCUGGCAGUGCGCGGGAGGAGUUGGCCGCCUCCCCGAUUGAUUUUUUCCUGGAUGAGAGGGAUUCAUGGUUGAAUCAACGAUGUGAAUAUACUGUGCGGCAAUUUUGAACUCAUGACGGCAUUGCUUGUUGCCAACUAGUAAAUGUAAGCAAGGAAAAAAAAUAAAAAAGAAAUUGUCAGAAGUGGGGUUUGAACCCACGCCCUCGUUAGAGGACCAGAACUUGAGUCUGGCGCCUUAGACCACUCGGCCAUCCUGACUUGUACGACAACUACAGUUUUAGAACAUAUCUAUAGAUUAUUACUACUCCGCACCUGCAUCUGUAUAACAGUGUGUAUUUUUUUUGCCUUCUCCGUAUAACAUUGUGUAAAUUGAAGUACUAGUGCAUGACAACUUAUUCAGCAGACACUCCAUCUGAGAACCGUUCCUUCCUACAAGUAAAUUCCUAUCCAUGCCAACAUUUAUCAGUUCAGCAUCGGCUUCAGGGUUCCUGAAUAAAAACUGAAACACACUACAUACAUGUUUUUGAAUUGCAAAAAACGAAGAUCAUGUAGUUCUUUUCUGAUGCUCAUUCCGGUAUCGAGCUGUUCCUAUCUACUCCCUUCAUUUAGAAUUACUUGUCGCAGAAAUGGAUGUAUCUAGACGUAUUUUAGUUCUACAACAACAACAACAACAAAGCCUUUAGUCCCAAACAAGUUGGGGUAGGCUAGAGGUGAAAUCCAUAAGAUCUCACAACCAACUCAUGGCUCUAGCACAUGGAUAGCAAGCUUCCACGCACCCCUGUCCAUAGCCAGCUCUUUGUCGAUACUCCAAUCCUUCAGGUCUCUCUUAACGGACUCCUCCCAUGUCAAAAUCGAUCGACCCCGCCCUCUCUUGACAUUCUCCGCACGCGUUAGCCGUCCGCUAUGCACUGGAGCUUCUGGAGGCCUGCGCUGAAUAUGCCCAAACCAUCUCAAACGAUGUUGGACAAGCUUCUCCUCAAUUGGUGCUACCCCAACUCUAUCUCGUAUAUCAUCAUUCCGGACUCGAUCCUUCCUCGUGUGGCCACACAUCCAUCUCAACAUACGCAUCUCCGCCACACCUAACUGUUGAACAUGUCGCCUUUUAGUCGGCCAACACUCCGCGCCAUACAACAUUGCGGGUCGAACCGCCGUCCUGUAGAACUUGCCUUUUAGCUUUUGUGGCACUCUCUUGUCACAGAGAAUGCCAGAAGCUUGACGCCACUUCAUCCAUCCGGCUUUGAUUCGAUGGUUCACAUCUUCAUCAAUACCCCCAUCCUCCUGCAACAUUGACCCCAAAUACCGAAAGGUGUCCUUCCGAGGUACCACCUGGCCAUCAAGGCUAACCUCCUCCUCCUCACAGCUAGUAGUACUGAAACCGCACAUCAUGUACUCGGUUUUAGUUCUACUAAGCCUAAACCCUUUCGAUUCCAAGGUUUGUCUCCAUAACUCUAACUUCCUAUUUACCCCCGUCCGACUAUCAUCAACUAGCACCACAUCAUCCGCAAAGAGCAUACACCAUGGGAUAUCUUCUUGUAUACCCCUUGUGACCUCAUCCAUCACCAAUGCAAAAAGAUAAGGGCUCAAAGCUGACCCCUGAUGCAGUCCUAUCUUAAUCGGGAAGUCAUCGGUGUCGACAUCACUUGUUCGAACACUUGUCACAACAUUAUUGUACAUGUCCUUGAUGAGGGUAAUGUACUUUGCUGGGACUUUGUGUUUCUCCAAGGCCCACCACAUGACAUUCCGCGGUAUCUUAUCAUAGGCCUUCUCCAAGUCAAUGAACACCAUAUGCAAGUCCUUCUUAUGCUCCCUAUAUCUCUCCAUAAGUUGUCGUACCAAGAAAAUGGCUUCCAUGGUCGACCUCCCAGGCAUGAAACCAAACUGAUUUUUGGUCACGCUUGUCAUUCUUCUUAAGCGGUGCUCAAUGACUCUCUCCCAUAGCUUCAUUGUAUGGCUCAUCAGCUUAAUUCCACGGUAAUUAGUACAACUCUGAACAUCCCCCUUGUUCUUGAAGAUUGGUACUAAUAUACUCCGUUUCCAUUCUUCUGGCAUCUUGUUUGCCCGAAAAAUGAGGUUGAAAAGCUUGGUUAGCCAUACUAUCGCUAUGUCCCCGAGACCUUUCCACACCUCAAUGGGGAUACAAUCAGGGCCCAUCGCCUUGCCCCCUUUCAUCCUUUUUAAAGCCUCCUUCACCUCAGACUCCUGGAUGCGCCGCACAAAACGCAUGCUGGUCUCAUCAAAGGAGUCAUUCAGUUCAAUGGUAGAACUCUCAUUCUCCCCAUUGAACAGCUUGUCGAAGUACUCCCGCCAUCUAUGCUUAAUCUCUUCGUCCUUCACCAAGAGUUGGCCUGCUCCGUCCUUGAUGCAUUUGACUUGGCCAAUAUCCCUCGUCUUCCUCUCCCGGAUCUUAGCCAUCUUAUAGAUGUCCCUUUCACCUUCCUUCGUGCCUAACCGUUGGUAGAGGUCCUCAUAUGCCCGACCCCUUGCUUCACCAAUAGCUCGCUUUGCGGCCUUCUUCGCCAUCUUGUACUUCUCUAUGUUGUCUGCACUCCUAUCCAGGUAUAGGCGUCUGAAGCAAUCUUUCUUCUUUUUAAGCGCCUUCUGGACAUCAUCAUUCCACCACCAGGUAUCCUUAUCUUCGCUUCUCCUUCCCCUGGACACUCCAAACUCCUCUGAGGCCACCUUACGAAUGCAAGUCGCCAUCUUCAUCCAUACAUUGUCCGCAUCCCCUCCUUCCUCCCAAGGGCCCUCCUUAAAUACCCACUCCUUGAACACCUGAGCUACCUCCCCCUUGAGCUUCCACCACUUCGUUCUAGCGAUCUUGGCACGCUUAUCCCGCUGGACACGAAUCCGAAAGCGGAAGUCAGCAACCACCAGCUUAUGCUGGGGUACAACACUCUCCCCAGGUAUCACCUUACAGUCUAGGCACGCACGCCUAUCUUCUCUUCUCGAGAGGAUGUAUUUUAGUUCUAAAUACAUCUAUUUCCAAGACAAAUAAUUUGGAACGGAGGGAAUACCUAGCAAAGAGAGCACAAGGACGAGGAGAAACCACCUAUCCUCAAGCCGCUGGAUAUGAGGCUGCGGUGACACCCAAUCGGCCUCGAGUCUCAAGGGGAAGGAAGCUAGGCUAGCACCUUCCCCUUCUCCGCUAGCUAUCACUCACUCCAGCGCUCCGCUCCGAUGGCCGCCGCCUCCUUCCUCCCCCUCCACCUCCCGGCCUCCCCGAGGCCGGCCACCGUGGCCGCGAGGGCAGCCUCGGGCGUGGCGUCGACGGUGCCCGCCGCCACGCAGACGUCGCAGCUGGAGGAGACGUUCGGCCGGAAGGGCCUCCGGUUCGGGACGGACGCCACGGGCGCGCCCACGGCGGAGCUGAGCGUGCGCAACGGCAGCUCGCUGCAGCUGCGGCUCAACGACGGGCUGGUCACGUCGUACCGGCCCAAGGUGUCCUGGGAGGGCGGGGACGGCUGCCGGGAGCUGCUCCACACCGUGGCCGCCGCCGGCGCGGUCAAGGGCGGCGUCGGGCUGGUGCUCAACGAGGCCUCCUCGUCGUCAUCGCUGCUCGGCGCGUCGGAGUGGUCGGUGGCGGACGUGGACUCGGACUCGUACGACGCGGUGCAGGUGGAGCUCGGGUGCGGCGUCGGCGGGGCCAAGCUGGAGGUGUCGUACGUGGUGACGCUGUACCCGCUGAGCAUGGCGACGGCGGUGAUCGUCAAGAACAACGGGGCCAAGCCGGUGGAGCUGACGGGCGCCGUGCUGAGCCACAUCAAGUUCGACAAGCGGCGGGGCACGGCCGUGGAGGGCCUCCGGGGGUGCCCCUACUGCUCCCACCCGCCGCCGGCGGCCGGGUUCGCGCUGCUCACCCCCGCCGAGGCCAUGAAGCGGGAGGAGUCCGGGUGGUUCGGCGGCGGCGGCGGGGAGGAGCCCCGGCAGGGCGCCUGGACCGUGGAGGAGAACCUCUACACCAUCCUCAAGAAGAAGGCGAGCAGGGUGUACGCGGCGCCGCCGGAGGAGAGGAAGAAGCGCAUCUACAGCACCGCGCCCUCCAAGUUCACCACCAUCGACCAGGUUCGUUCGUUUCUUGGGAUGCAUGCAAUGUACUGUAUGAUAAUCAUUCAUCGAUCGCUUUGCUCACUGAUAAUAUUUGGACUGUGGUGCAGUCUAGCGGGCUGGGGUUCAGGCUGGUGAGGAUGGGGUUCGAGGACCUGUACCUGAGCAGCCCGGGAGGACUGUACGAGAAGUUCGGCAACGACUACUUCCUCUGCACCGGGCCGGCGUCCAUCCUCGUGCCCGUCGUCGUCGGCCCCGGCGAGGAGUGGAGGGGGGCACAGGUCAUCGAGCACGACAACUUGUAACUGCUUUUUUCUUGCGUGCCAACAGAGUUACACAAGAAAUCAUGUACAUUCUCACAUGGGGAUGAAUCUUGUAACUACCCAUUGCGAUCAAUAUGUACACAUGCAGUAGAUUACUUGCCCAUCUCGUAACUAACAUACAAAUGAAUUUUCAAAAAAAUUACAUGGUCACGUGUGAAGAAGACUUGAAAACCUCAAAGGAAGUUAUGCUUUGGAAAAUAACAAGCAUAAAGUUGGACACUCCCUCAUAGAAUUCACUGUAUCAGCUCAACAUAAUCCACAUAACUCCAGACACAAUCAUCUGGUACAAAAGAACCAAGCGCUGGUGGCAACAUAAUCGCGGUAAGCACCACCUAUUUCUGAGAAUGUUUACUCAAGUAAACCCGCAUCCUUGAGAGCAGUCUCAAAAUUGUCCUCGCUUUUCCAGUUGGGGACCUCAGGCACUUUGUGCUGGAAGUAGUCCUCGAUCUUUGUCAUCACAACUUCAUCAGUUUGACCACAUAGCAGGUUGAACACAGCUCCUGUCACCACCAAAAAUUCAGUUAGGCCACAAGAUAAGCACUCUACUCAACACAGAUUAGCUGAUAAACUGGCAUAACAAAAUGUAUGUUUCAAAAUGAUAAAUCAUGAACACAAUCAAAGGAAAUCAAUUGACUGUCUCAAGAAAUAGGAGAUCACAACUUCUUAAGAAAAAAUUAAAUGGAACAAACAACAUGAGGCCGAUAAUCAACAAACAAUGGUCACAUCAGUUCUAUCUUAUCCUAAUAAAGGAUGCUAAAAAUCCUAUUGCAAAAUCCUACUCACAGAAGACUGGUUCUGCCGACAAAUUCAAUCUUAGGCUAGGACAAACAGGCAUUAGGAUUGACUAAAUGUAGCGUGUUUGCUUAUCACUGAUAACAGGUUCAAUCUGCCAUUAACCCCAAGCCAUUUAAUUCCUAUCAACACCAUUAAUGUCUGUCACAGCGUUGACAAAAUAUGCUUACAAUGGUGUAUGUACAUAGACUGCUAGACAAAUUUACCUUUUCGGCCAAAGCGUCCAGCUCUGCCAAUUCUGUGCAGGUACACCUCAUAAUCAGGUUCAUCUCUCGUAUUAUACUUGAUUGGCAUAUCGUAGUUGAUGACCAGGUUAACCUUUCAAAGUUAGAAUGUUAGUAGGAAAAUUUAUACUGGUGUGUCAAAAACUCAAAAUAGCACAGCGCGCAUAGUACCUGUGCUUGGUCAAACCCACGAGCAAGAACAUCAGUUGAUAUAAGAACCUUGGUGUAUCCAUCUUUGAAUUCCUGAAUUACUUUUUCCCUCUCUGCUUGGUCAAGGGAUCCUUGAAUUGAGGAGCACACAUAGUCCUCUUUUGUCAAAGCAUUAUGUACAUUCUUAGUACUAUUUCUUGUCCUCACAAAGAUGAUAACCUGUCCAACCUUUUGCCCAAACUCAAAGAUCUUGUCCCUUAUAACCUCUAUUUUGGCCGCCUCAUCAGGGACUCGGACUUUAUAUUGCUUUACUUUUUCCAAAGUAAGAUCUUCCUUCUUCACAAAUAUUUGGUUUCCGUCCUUAAUGACCCUUGUAACAAAUUCCUUCACUUUCUCGUUGAAGGUCGCAGAGAAGAGAAGCACCUGUUAUAAAUAGAAUUAAAAUAAGUAAAAGAGGACCUCCGCAAAUAAAGAGAGUAAAAGAGGCACCAUAUAGAAACAGAAACAAUCACAUCUAACCAAGAAUUUAGAAAUUAUAUAGCCAAGGCUAGUUGAAUGGCACAGCCAUGGAAUUACACCGACAGUUACAAGCAUUACAAAAGAUUAUCCACCACAUGGACAAGGCUAGUUGAGGACUGAAAGUAUAUCAACACCAUCAAUGGAUGAACUUGAAAAAACUAGGGCAAUAACAGCAGCUGAUUGGCUAUAAGAUUAUGAUAAUAGGAGUGCCCAAAUGUGCAAUUAACUAAUUACAUAGAACAUACAAUAGUAUAUGAUUCUUUCUAUUCCUAAAAUUAUCAACUUCGGAGAUGCCCCACGCAUGAACAUGCAGCCUUCCAAAAAAUAAAGAAAAUGAAUAUCACAAUAAAAAAACAUACAAAUUGAACACAACCCACUGCAUAAAGAAAAUGACUCUUUUCCAAAGCCUCUACCUAUCAUUAGCAAUUGAUGACAAGUUCAACAAGCAGCACAUGAGCACAUACAAAGCAUAGGAACAGGUUGUCUCCCUUAAUAGCCUACCAAGUCCCAACAUUCAAAAUACUCACAUCUGAUUUUGAAAUGUAACCAAGGUGCAAGCUGUUGUGUGUGAUUCUACUGCCACAGUCAAAAGUAGUCAGUUCACUAAAAAAGGGUUACCUGACAGCCACCAGCACUAUUUUGUAUAUCCUUCAUGAUCCUUAAAGAAUCAGUUUUAAAGCCCUCCUGCAAGAAGCAUUCAACAGGGUAAGAAACUGGACUCAUUCAAUCACAAAAGCAACUAGUUUACAUGAGAGCCCGCAACGUCGGAAUUUUGAGCGCCUCAAAUUUGGUUCCAGUUAUAUGAAUAUUUCUACUGUGGGUACUCCAUAAUGAUUUAUGUCCUUGGAAAACAGAUGCCUUUUUCUGUUAUUUUUAUCCACUCAGACCAAACAGAAACCAAGAGUUUUUGGUCAUCACACCUAACAUAACACGACCGCACCAUGAUGACACCCCUUAAUGCCCACUAGGAUAUCAGGAGUACAAACUAUACAGGCCGCAUUCUUUCAUAGUCUAAUUCACUGACUCAUACUAGACUAAAGGUUAUUUCAAUUUCAAUUUCAACUAAGCCACAAGAAAGUUACCUACCACAGAGGAAGCAAGUUAGUGGCAAGUCUAGCAAGUAAGUGCCACUGCUUUGCUUCUUUGCUCUUGCGGAUAGUUAUCGGUGUACAUCUCAUGGCUAUGAAGGGGAAGGUCUAAGGGACUUAACCUCAAAACACCCUCAUUGUUUGCUGCUAAGAAACAUCUGCUCUAUUUCUUACAAGGACAUGAAGGCUCGAAUGAAUAUUGCCGUCAAUGCCAUUAUUGUUUGUAGCUGAGAAAUAACACCUGUAAUGAGUAUGGACCUAACAUCCUUCUCCCUUCACUAUUAGCAUGUGUCUUACACUAAACUACAGUAAGUCGCCCGGAAAACACUGGGUGUAAUGAGUAUGGACCUUAUUAUCCUUCUCGCUUCACUGUUAGCAUGUGUCUUACACUAAACGAACAGUAAGUCACCCUUAAAACACUGGGCGCAUCAAGGACACAAAUAGAUCGAUGACAAGAGAACUAAGCUGUACCUCAGCAAGCAUAUGAUCUGCCUCGUCGAACACAAGAAUCUUGAUCUCCCUAGUCGCAAGCUUCUUAUGGGUGAUCCACUUGGUGAGCGUCCCAGAAGUGCCAAUCACCACCUGAUCGGUCACCGGAGCCAUUUUGCUGAUGGGCAUAUACUCUUUCUGAGACGACGGGAUUGCACAGGCACAGGUGAUGCCGGUAAACUUGCCCAUCCUCAUGAGCACAGAUUUAUUCUGCACAGACCAACCAAUCAAAAUCAGUACAGUACAUUACAGGGUAUAAAACUAACAGAAUCAAGCUUCAUACUGCAGUUUGUUAUUAUAUCUAAUAACCAGAUGAGAGCACAUUUGCAGAGCGUGGUAGUGGAGAGGAUCAAGCCAAGAGACGUACCUGCUGCGCGAGCUCCCUGGUGGGGCAGAUGCAGAUGGCCUGGGGGACCUUGCGGUUGGGGUCGACGCGGCUGAGCAUGCCGAGGACGAAGCAGGUGGUCUUGCCGGAGCCGUUGUGCGCCUGCGCGACGAGGUCCCUGUGGGGCGGCGUGAGGAUCAUGGGGAGCGUGAUGGCCUGGAUCUUGCUGGGGCGGCUGAACCCCAUCUCGUCGUGCAGCCCCUUGAGCAGCUCGGGGGUGAGCUUCACGUCCUCGAAGGUCGUGGCCGACUCGUACACCGUGCCGCCCGAGGUCACCUGGAGAAGCAAAGCACCGAAUCAGCAGCCGGCCGACAUCGAGAGGCGGCGGCGGCGGGGAGCAGAGCGGAGCGGAGAGGCGCGUACGGCCUGGAUUUGGGAGUCGUCGGAGUCGUCGAGCAGGGGCGGGCCCUCGGGGCCGCCGCCGUCGUCGUCCGGCACGGAGAGCGAGAGCGCCUCGAUCUGCUUCGCCUGCGCCUCCACCGCCGGCUCGAUGGGGGCGGAGGAGGAGGAGGCGGAGGAGGCGGCGGCGGCGAGCUCGGCCUCCGCCUCCGCUUUGGCCUUGGCCUCCUCCUCCUCCUCGACGUCGGCCCAGGACUUCUUCUCCGGCUCGGGCUUGGCGGCGCCGGCGUCGGCCAUCGGAGCAGAUCGGGAAGGAUCGAUGGCGAUGAGAGCUGCUUCAGCUAGAGUCGGUUCGCGUUUUUCCGGGUUUGCUCCCGAUUUGGGAGGGGAUCGAUUAUAUUGUGCUGCGUGAGGUGUUUUUUUAGCUUGGCAUGUAAGCGGAGCGCUGCUUAAGAUUUACGCGCACGCGGUCUCAGGCGGUUAAUUUUUUUUUAUUGGUUCUCAGGCGGUUAAUGCCGAGCGCCCCCUGAGCGUCAAAUAAUAAGGCCUCUUUUGGUUCAUAGGAUAGGAUUAUCAUAGGAAUAGAAAAUUUAUAGAAAAUGAGAUGACAUGUAACUCAAAUCCUAUGAGUAGGAAUAGGAAACGAGAUGUCAUUUAGUUCACAUCAAAGGAAUUUUUUCAUUGAGUCUAGGCUCAUUUUUAUUUUCCUAUAAAAUGUGAAGGAUAGGAACCAAUCCUAUGUAGAAAUAGGAAUCCAUUCCUAUGAACCAAAUGGCUCUAAAGGAAAAAAUCCUAUAAGAAUCAUAUCCUUUAGAAUUCCUAUGAAAUUCCUACAAACCAAAGAAGGCCUAAAUGGGGCAAAGGUCCACGCCUACCGGGCGCCCACAACCCAAUAACAUAUUUUUUCUUUCUUUCAGAAAUUGUAUUUUAAAAGUUUUUGUUUAUUUUUUAUGUUAAGACAAGUUUAAGAAAUGGAACAAAACCACAAGUAAACGGAAAUGUUAAAAGUCCGACAUCAGAUUUUUAGUGCUGAAAAUGUCUGUCAUGCAAAAACAGAUAGAAUUGUCAUGCUUAUGUAUCAUAAUUUGCCAUGUUCUACAGUGAACAUUGCCGUGCAAUGUAAAACAGAAAAAAUGUCAUGCAACAACAAUUAAUUGAUGUGCGUUCAAUCGGGGCCUCACGUACCAGAGGGUGCCAGAUUUUAACCCUAAGAAUUUGAUGUCAGAUUUAUAUUGAAAUCCCAGAUAAAAUCGGCUGCGCAUGCGAUAUGCAUUUUGUCGGCAAUUUGAUACAACAAUGCUAAUCCCUGUUUCACGGACGAGAGUGCCUUAGCCCGCAACUCUCAAGUUGGAUUUUCGAUCGAACAUGAACACACGUUCCCAUAGGUUGGUCUUUUAGAUGUUGUAACAUAAAAAUAACCAAAUCCUGAGUCGGCCAAGGUACAAUUGUUUCGCAAUCCGUAGGAGUGGCCUAUAAACUAUUACGGGUUAGUUUUUGCCUGUCUCUAAAGAAUAGGUUUUUGUAGCCACUGAUAGCCAUAUAUCUCAACGUGAGGUUUCCCAUGGUUUCUCUAAUACGGUUUUGAUUCCUGCUCUAUCAUGUGUGCACACGCUGACUAAGGGGAUGGCUUGCGCGUAUAACUAGCAGUGUGUGAUCUAAGUUUUAUUGCAUUCCGUUCUCCGGUGCUGGUGGCGGCACAAUUCUCUUCCGCGACGAGUCGGGAGGGUCUGGAGAGGCGUGCAUCAAUGAUCUCCUGCAAACAUAUGGGCCCCGAUGAGAAAGGACUUUGAUGAUCUCAUGUGUGAAAAGUUGUAGAUGUGGCAAAGCAAGAAGUCAACUAGUCAAGUGUAUGCUCAUUGCUGGAGUUCAAAUGAGCAAUCCUUUCAUGCUAAGCACGUUAUGGUCAUAUGAAUGCGGCCUAGAGUCCAAUGAAGGAGAUUAGAUUUAGGACUUUAGAGGAUAAUAUGUCCAUGAUUUGGAGCUUCUGCUUAGUGUAUUGGAAGAAGGUGAUAAAGGGAGGUUCAUCGCUCUUUCAAAAUGAUGGCAUGAUAAUCGAACCAUAUGAUGGUCUGUCGGCCCCGAAGUUGAUUGGUCGGAAUCAUAUCACUAUUUUGGAUCCAAAUUGCAAGAUCUCCAUGUGCAAAAUUGAAAGAACAUGCGGUGUCCCCAUGUUUGGUUUUGGUAAUUGAUGACAAUCUCUAUGGACUAAUGGUUUCCUUGAGUUAGAUUUGAAGGUUUUGUCCAUAGGUUUUUCUUGGAGUGCAUGUGUUAAUUUCAAGGAGAGUUUGUGUCGACCAAGGUGUUAUUCAAGGAAUUAUCCAAAGAUUGGUCAUGUGAGAGUUGAGUUUAUUGCAAGCAUGUCUUGAAGAAGAAGAUUGUGUGAUUAUUCAUGUCUACCUUCAAGACAUCAUUCAAAUGAAGAGAAUUGAAAAGGUUCAAGGUUGAUCAAGACUAAGUCAAGAGUGAAUCAAAUUGAUCAACUCACAAAGCGCAGAAGAUGUACCGAGAGGGAUCAAGUGAUCCCAUGGUAUGGUAAGAAUUAUCAAUUACGCUUUGUGUACUAACCCAUGGUCUUCGUGAGAGUUCUUUGUGGGGUUAGGUUGCGGUGUGCAAGUUCAAGUGGAGCAUCACGAAGAAAUCAAAUGCUUGAAGCUUGCCGUCCUUUGUGGUGAUAAUGGACUUGUGAAGAUGUGCGGAAGAGUGGCUCACCCAUAGUGGAGUAUGGAGGAGCAAUCAACUAGUCUUCAUCGGGUCAACACAAUCAAGAAAGGUGGUCCAACUUGAGGGAGUCAAGAUUGUCAUCAUCUAGCUCAAGUGGACCAUGUGCAAGGCAAAGGUUUGCCCUUGAUAGGUUUUCUAUUUUACCGGUCUCAUGAUGGUAGUUGGGAGACCGGGUUAUAGGAUCGAUUGCCGUACUAUCAAGGGGGGCUCUCGAUGAGUAGCUUGAUCGUAUCGUUCGUAGAGAGCUCAAACCAUUGCAUACUUACAUCAUCUUUCUUGGUUCUUGUUUGGUUCUCUUUGUGAGUCUUAGAGCUUAUGGUCAUCUUGAUGACAAGCUUGAGUUCACCGAAAACGGAGUUCGCAUGCAUCUUCUAUGAUGUUUUCGUUGUUGGAGGUUUUGCCGUUCUUCUCGGUUGGAGGUUUCACUCCUCUAUUUGUUGGCAUACCUCCCCUGCCUCUUCUUACUAUAUCCAGUCGCAGUUUUGAUGCUACUCGUCGUCUUGUUUCCAACUGUUGGGGAACAUAGUAAUUUCAAAGAAAUUCCUACGCACACGCAAGAUCAUGGUGAUGCAUAGCAACGAGAGGGGAGAGUAUGAUCUACGUACCCUAGUAGAUCGACAACGGAAGCGUUAACUUGGUUGAUGUAGUCGUACGUCUUCACGGCCCGACCGAUCAAGCACCGAAACUACGGAACCUCCGAGUUCUAGCACACGUUCAGCUCGAUGACGAUCCCCGGACUCCGAUCCAGCAAGGUGUCGGGGAAGAGUUCCGUCAGCACAACGGCGUGGUGACGAUCUUGAUGUACUACCGUCGCAGGGCUUCGCCUAAGCACCGCUACAAUAUUAUCGAGGACUAUGGUGGAAGGGGGCACCGCACACGGCUAAGAAUAUGAUCACGUGGNNNNNNNNNNNNNNNNNNNNNNNNNNNNNNNNNNNNNNNNNNNNNNNNNNNNNNNNNNNNNNNNNNNNNNNNNNNNNNNNNNNNNNNNNNNNNNNNNNNNNNNNNNNNNNNNNNNNNNNNNNNNNNNNNNNNNNNNNNNNNNNNNNNNNNNNNNNNNNNNNNNNNNNNNNNNNNNNNNNNNNNNNNNNNNNNNNNNNNNNNNNNNNNNNNNNNNNNNNNNNNNNNNNNNNNNNNNNNNNNNNNNNNNNNNCCUCCCUUUCCUUGUCCAAGUAGGAGAGGGGGAAGGAGAGAAGGAAAAGGGGGGGCGCCGCCCCUCCCUCCUUGUCCAAUUCGGACUUAGGGGGAGAGGGGGCGUGCGGCCUGCCCUGGCAGCCCCUCCUCUUCUCCACUUUAGGCCCAUGAGGCCCAUUAAGCCCCGGGGGGGGGGGGUCCGGUAACCCCCGGUGCUCCGGUUUUAUCCGAAACUUCCCCGGAACACUUCCGGUGUCCGAAUAUAGCCGUCCAAUAUAUCAAUCUUUAUGUCUUGACCAUUUCGAGACUCCUCGUCAUGUCCGUGAUCACAUUCGAGACUCUGAACUAACUUCGGUACAUCAAAACUCAUAAACUCAUAAUAUAACUGUCAUCGAAACCUUAAGCGUGCGGACCCUACGGGUUCGAGAACAAUGUAGACAUGACUGAGACACGUCUCCGGUCAAUAACCAAUAGCGGAACCUGGAUGCUCAUAUUGGCUCCUACAUACUCUACGAAGAUCUUUUAUCGGUCAGACCGCAUAACAACAUACGUUGUUCCCUUUGUCAUCGGUAUGUUACUUGCCCGAGAUUCGAUCGUCGGUAUCCCAUACCUAGUUCAAUCUCGUUACCGGCAAGUCUCUUUACUCGUUCCGUAAUACAUCAUCUCACAACUAACUCAUUAGUUGCAAUGCUUGCAAGGCUUAUGUGAUGUGUAUUACCGAGAGGGCCCAGAGAUACCUCUCCGACAAUUGGAGUGACAAAUCCUAAUCUCGAAAUACGCCAACCCAACAUGUACCUUUGGAGACACCUGUAGAGCACCUUUAUAAUCACCCAUUUACGUUGUGGCGUUUGGUAGCACACAAAGUGUUCCUCCGGCAAACGGGAGUUGCAUAAUCUCAUAGUCAUAGGAACAUGUAUAAGUUAUGAAGAAAGCAAUAGCAACAUACUAAAUGAUCGGGUGCUAAGCUAAUGGAAUGGGUCAUGUCAAUCAGAUCAUUCAUCUAAUGAUGUGAUCCUGUUAAUCAAAUGACAACUCUUUGUCCAUGGUUAGGAAACAUAACCAUCUUUGAUUAACAAGCUAGUCUAGUAGAGGCAUACUAGUGACACUCUGUUUGUCUAUGUAUUCACACAUGUAUUAUGUUUCCGGUUAAUACAAUUCUAGCAUGAAUAAUAAACUUUUAUCAUGAUAUAUAAGAAAAUAAAUAAUAACUUUAUUAUUGCCUCUAGGGCAUAUUUCCUUCAGUCUCCCACUUGCACUAGAGUCAAUAAUCUAGAUUACACAGUAAUGAUUCUAACACCCAUGGAGCCUUGGUGUUGAUCAUGUUUUGCUCGUGGAAGAGGCUUAGUCAACGGGUCUGCUACAUUCAGAUCCGCAUGUAUCUUGCAAAUCUCUAUGUCUCCCACCUGGACUAGAUCCCGGAUGGAAUUGAAGCGUCUCUUGAUGUGCUUGGUUCUCUUGUGAAAUCUGGAUUCCUUUGCCAAGGCAAUUGCACCAGUAUUGUCACAAAAGAUUUUCAUUGGACCCGAUGCACUAGGUAUGACACCUAGAUCGGAUAUGAACUCCUUCAUCCAGACUCCUUCAUUCGCUGCUUCCGAAGCAGCUAUGUAUUCCGCUUCACACGUAGAUCCUGCCACGACGCUCUGUUUAGAACUGCACCAACUGACAGCUCCACCGUUUAAUGUAAACACGUAUCCGGUUUGCGAUUUAGAAUUGUCCGGAUCAGUGUCAAAGCUUGCAUCAACGUAACCGUUUACGAUGAGCUCUUUGUCACCUCCAUAUACGAGAAAUAUAUCCUUAGUCCUUUUCAGGUACUUCAGGAUGUUCUUGACCACUGUCCAGUGAUCCACUCAUGGAUUAUUUUGGUACCUCCCUGCUAGACUUAUAGCAAGGCACACAUCAGGUCUGGUACACAACAUUGCAUACAUGAUAGAGCCUAUGGCUGACGCAUAGGGAACAUCUUUCAUUUUCUCUCUAUCUUCUGCAGUGGUCGGGCAUUGAGUCUGACUCAACUUCACACCUUGUAACACAGGCAAGAAUCCUUUCUUUGCUUGAUCCAUUUUGAACUUCUUCAAAAUCUUGUCAAGGUAUGUGCUUUGUGAAAGUCCAAUUAAGCGUCUUGAUCUAUCUCUAUAGAUCUUUAUGCCUAAUAUGUAAGCAGCUUCACCGAGGUCUUUCAUUGAAAAACUCUUAUUCAAGUAUCCCUUUAUGCUAUCCAGAAAUUCUAUAUCAUUUCCAAUCAGUAAUAUAUCAUCCACAUAUAAUAUCAGAAAUGCUACAGAGCUCCCACUCACUUUCUUGUAAAUACAUGCUUCUCCAAAGGUCUGUAUAAAACCAAAUGCUUUGAUCACACUAUCAAAGCAUUUAUUCCAACUCCAAGAGGUUUGCACCAGUCCAUAAAUGGAUUGCUGGAGCUUGCACACUUUGUUAGCUCCCUUUGGAUCGACAAAACCUUCCGGUUGCAUCAUAUACAACUCUUCUUCCAGAAAUCCAUUCAAGAAUGCAGUUUUGACAUCCAUCUGCCAAAUUUCAUAAUCAUAAAAUGCGGUAAUUGCUAACAUGAUUCGGGCAGACUUAAGCAUCGCUAUGGGUGAGAAGGUCUCAUCGUAGUCAACCCCUUGAACUUGUCGAAAACUUUUUGCGACAAGUCGAGCUUUGUAGACAGUAAUAUUACCGUCAGCAUCAGUCUUCUUCUUGAAGAUCCAUUUAUUGUCAAUUGCUUGCCGAUCAUCGGGCAAGUCAACCAAAGUCCAUACUUUGUUCUCAUACAUGGAUCCCAUCUCAGAUUUCAUGGCUUCAAGCCAUUUUUCGGAAUCUGGGCUCACCAUCGCUUCUUCAUAGUUCGUAGGUUCAUCAUGAUCUAGUAGCAUGACUUCUAGAACAGGAUUACCGUACCACUCUGGCGCGGAUCUUACUCUGGUUGAUCUACGAGGUUCAGUAGUAUCUUUGUAACACCCCGGAUGUAACUUUCCAUAUUUGUAUCCAACUCUUGUCGUCUCCGACGCUAAGUUAUAUUUAUUUCUCGGGUUCGGGUCUUUGUCUCCGUGUGUUGUUUUUAUUUUUUCGUGCAUCUCUUACCAUGUCAUCUCGUGCAUUGCAUUUGCAUACAUGUUCAUCUCAUGCAUUUGAGCAUUUUCUCCGUUGUCCGUUUUGCAUUCCGGCGCUUCGUUCUCCUCCGGUGGCCAUUUCCAGCUUUCUUUCAUGUGUGGGGUUCAAACAUUUCUGGACUGGACUGAAACUUGUCAUGCGGCCUUGGUUUACUACCGGUAGACCGUCUGUCAAGUUUCGUAUCAUUUGGACUUCGUUUGAUACUCCAACGGUUAACCGAGGGACCGAAAAGGCCUCGUGUGUGUUGCAGCCCAACACCCCCCAAAUUUGGCCCAAAACCCACCAAACUCUGCUCCAUGUCCUAGAGCGUUCGAUCACGAUCGCGUGGGCAAAAACCGCACCUCAUUUGGACUCUCCUAGCUCCACUUAUGCCUAUUUAUACCCCCUCCAUUCGGAUCUCCUCUUCCCCCGUCCAAACCCUAAAAAAAAAA